CGGGACGGGGUGAGUAAUGUCUGGGAAACUGCCUGAUGGAGGGGGGUAACUACUGGAAACGGUAGCUAAUACCGCAUAACGUCGCAAGACCAAAGAGGGGGACCUUAGGGCCUCUUGCCAUCGGAUGUGCCCAGAUGGGAUUAGCUAGUAGGUGGGGUAACGGCUCACCUAGGCGACGAUCCCUAGCUGGUCUGAGAGGAUGACCAGCCACACUGGAACUGAGACACGGUCCAG
rnacentral:rRNA from 1 species